rnacentral:rRNA from 1 species
UACAGAGGGUGCGAGCGUUAAUCGGAAUUACUGGGCGUAAAGCGCGCGUAGGCGGCUUUGCAAGCCGGAUGUGAAAUCCCCGGGCUUAACCUGGGAACUGCAUUCGGGACUGCAUUGCUAGAGUAUGGGAGAGGGAAGUGGAAUUUCAGGUGUAGCGGUGAAAUGCGUAGAUAUCAGGAGGAACACCCGUGGCGAAAGCGGCUCUCUGGGACGGUACUGACGCUGAGACGCGAAAGCGUGGGGAGCGAACAGG